AUGACGUCGUUCGCCGGCGUAUCCAUCCUGGCCGACAGCGGGCUGUGCCCAGCCACCGAGUCGCCCGUCGAAACCAGCACGGUCUGUGGGUACCACCUGCUAGUGGUCCAAGACUACUACGGUGUCAAAGACAAGAUGCCCACCAGCGAGAGCAUCGCCUCCCGCCCAUUCAUGGUAGGAGGCCAUCGCUGGAUCAUUAAGUACUACCCCAACGGUGAAAGCCAGAGCUGCGUCGACUUCAUUUCCCUCUAUGUUUCCCGCCUCCGCGACGAUGACGCCAAGAAGCCCGUGGAAGCCAAGUUAGGUUUCAAUUUCGUCGACCAGGUUGAGACGCAGAAUCCGGUCUACUUACGUCAAACCAGAAAAUACAACUUCAACGGUUCUUCCUAG
rnacentral:rRNA from 1 species